UACGGAGGGUGCAAGCGUUAUCCGGAUUCACUGGGUUUAAAGGGUGCGUAGGCGGGCAGGUAAGUCCGUGGUGAAAUCUCUGAGCUUAACUCAGAAACUGCCAUGGAUACUAUUUGUCUUGAAUAUUGUGGAGGUAAGCGGAAUAUGUCAUGUAGCGGUGAAAUGCUUAGAUAUGACAUAGAACACCAAUUGCGGAGGCAGCUUACUACACAGUUAUUGACGCUGAGGCACGAAACGUGGGGAUCAAACAGG
rnacentral:rRNA from 1 species